CGCCGAGCCUCCGGCCGUUGCCGCAGCCCCUGGCGGCCAGCGAAGCCCUCCUUCACGUCUCAUCCCCGUCCUUUCCCAGUUGAUUCCUGGCUUAUUUGGGGGUCGGUCCGGUGACCCUGAAGGCCGCGCUUGGAGGGCGCCGGGGCUGCGGCAGCAGACUGCCCUCCUCCCGGCGCGGGCGGCCGGCUGCCCCCGAGGCCCGCGUGGCCGCUGCGGUCUCCAUGGUAACGGCCGCGCCGGCGUCUCCGCCUCGGGGGGAAGAUGCGGCCUGCGGCGCCCGCCGCCUCUCCCCCGGCCUCAUGGCGGGCCCGGGGCCACUGAGGAGGAAGGUCCCGGCCGCCGGACUGCGGGGCAGCGGGCCCCAGUGAAAUCCCAUUCUCUGGCUGGAGACACAGAUGGCCUCAAAUGAGAGAGAUGCUAUAUCGUGGUACCAAAAGAAGAUUGGAGCAUAUGAUCAGCAGAUAUGGGAAAAGUCAAUCGAACAGACUCAGAUUAAGGCUAAGAAAGCUGUCUCCUCAUCUACAAUGGGCUUCAAAAACAAACCAAAAAAGAUGGGUCACAUAAAACCAGACUUGAUUGACGUGGACUUAAUCAGAGGCUCAACAUUUGCCAAAGCCAAACCUGAAAUUCCGUGGACAUCUCUGACUCGAAAGGGGCUUGUUCGAGUUGUCUUUUUCCCAUUGUUCAGCAAUUGGUGGAUUCAGGUUACCUCUUUAAGAAUCUUUAUUUGGCUGCUACUGCUUUACCUCAUGCAAGGCCUUUUCAAUCUUUUCUUCUGUGUGACCUUUGAAUAUUGGAUUACCUCAAGAUUGGAUCCUGGAUUCUCUUCUCUAGUUAUAGCACUCGUGUUAUAUUUUAUGAUGCCUAUUGUGAAUGUAAGCGAAGUACUUGGACCCUUGUGCCUUAUGUUACUCAUGGGAACUGUCCACUGUCAAAUUGUGUCUACUCAGAUAACAAGGCCAUCGGGAAACAAUGGAAAUCGGAGAAGAAGAAAAUUACGAAAAACUGUAAAUGGUGACGGGAGCCGAGAAAAUGGAAAUAACUCCUCUGAUAAAGUCAGAGGAGUAGAAACUUUGGAAUCUAUACCCUUUAUUGGUGGAUUUUGGGACAGUCUCUUUGGCAACAGGAUUAAAAGAGUGAAAUUAAUAUGUAACAAAGGAACUGAAACUGAUAAUGACCCAAGUUGUCUGCAUCCUAUCAUUAAGAAGAGACAAUGUCGACCAGAGAUUAGAAUGUGGCAAACAAAAGAGAAAGCAAAAUUUUCAGAUGGAGAAAAGUGCCAUAGGGAGGCUUUUAGGCAUCUGGGUAAUGGGAUUUCAGAUGAUCUGUCAAGUGAGGAGGACGGUGAAGCCCGGACACAGAUGAUGAUGUUGCGCAGGAGUGUGGAAGGGGCCUCAAGUGACAACGGCUGUGAAGUUAAGAAUAGAAAGUCAAUACUUUCUAGGCACCUAAACACUCAGGUAAAGAAAACCACCACCAAGUGGUGUCACAUUGCACGGGAUUCAGAUAGUCUGGCUGAAUCAGAGUUUGAAUCGGCAGCCUUCAGUCAGGGCUCUAGGUCUGGCAUGAGUGGUGGCUCUCGAAACCUGACCAUGUCCAGAAGAGACUCAGAAAGCACCCGCCAUGACUCAGAGACCGAGGAUAUGCUAUGGGACGACCUGCUGCAUGGCCCAGAGUGCCGGUCAUCUGUCACCAGUGACAGUGAGGGGGCCCAUGUGAACACCCUCCAUUCAGGGACCAAACGUGAUCCCAAAGAAGAUGUUUUUCAGCAGAACCACUUAUUCUGGCUUCAGAACUCAAGUCCUGCCUCUGAUCGAGUUAGUGCAAUAAUCUGGGAAGGGAAUGAGUGCAAAAAGAUGGAUAUGUCUGUGUUGGAAAUAAGUGGCAUCAUCAUGAGCAGGGUUAAUGCGUAUCAGCAAGGAGUAGGUUAUCAGAUGCUGGGAAAUGUCGUCACCAUUGGAUUAGCAUUUUUCCCUUUUUUACAUCGACUUUUCCGUGAGAAGAGUUUUGACCAGCUAAAGUCUAUUUCAGCUGAGGAGAUCAUGACUCUCUUUUGUGGGGCACCACCUGUUACACCUAUUAUUAUUUUGUCUAUGAUUAAUUUUUUUGAACGAUUGUGUCUUACUUGGAUUUUUUUUUUCAUGAUGUGUGUGGCGGAAAGAACAUAUAAACAGAGAUUUUUAUUUGCAAAACUCUUCAGCCAUAUUACUUCUGCCAGGAAGGCUAGGAAAUAUGAAAUACCUCAUUUCAGACUUAAAAAGGUGGAGAACAUUAAGAUAUGGUUAUCACUGCGCUCCUUUCUCAAGAGACGGGGUCCACAGCGCUCAGUUGAUGUCGUUGUAUCUUCAGUCUUCUUACUGACACUUUCCAUUGCUUUCAUUUGUUGUGCCCAGGUUCUGCAAGGGCAUAAAACUUUCCUGAAUGAUGCUUAUAAUUGGGAGUUUUUGAUCUGGGAAACAGCUUUACUACUUUUCUUACUGCGUCUGGCCUCAUUGGGGUCUGAAACCAAUAAGAAAUACAGCAAUGUUUCAAUAUUACUUACGGAACAGAUUAAUUUAUAUCUUAAGAUGGAAAAAAAGCCUAAUAAGAAAGAACAGCUUACUCUAGUAAAUAAUGUAUUAAAGCUGUCCACCAAGUUAUUGAAAGAGCUGGACACACCAUUUAGACUCUAUGGACUGACAAUGAAUCCCUUAAUCUACAAUAUCACACGAGUAGUUAUCCUUUCUGCUGUCUCAGGUGUUAUAAGUGAUCUUCUAGGAUUUAAUAUAAGACUGUGGAAAAUUAAGUCAUAAGCUGAGUCAUGUGCCUGGACUCUCCCCUUGUUGGCACCGGUACUUACCCGUUAAGGAAGGAGACGGCUGCAGAAACCCUGAGAUACCUACCUGCUUGUUCACACACAGAGUUUUGGAAGAUUGUGUGCUUUGGGGCUCCUGGGUGCUGGCUCAGUCGGUUAAGUGUCCAACUUCACCUCAGUUCUUGGUGCCCCUUUGAAUAAUGAAGUUUGAAUUUCACAAAUGUGCAGUAAUUCUAUACCUUUCCUGCAGCAUGCCUGAGCUUAUAAACUGUGAUAAGGUAUUACUCAAGUAGUGAUGUUUUGGAGUUUCAUUUUUAAACCAGGCCUGGGCCAUCACCAGUAGCUGUUAGAAGAGGCAACCGCCAUCUUUAAUGACGAGCUAACAAUCCCUUCUUCUGCAAGGACUCAAAUAUUUCUCUCUGUAAACAUGCAGCAUGCUAUUGAGGAUAUCAACUUCCAAGCCAAACCUAGUUUUUUCAUUACUGUGGAAUUAUCUGAGUAAGACGGAUACAACACAUGUGAUACAGUAGAUAACUUGGCACAGAUAUAAAGUGAGUUGUGACCACACUGUGUGCACAUCAGCAUGGACACUCACGGCGACGGGCCGGGGCACCCGAGCCGGGCAUGUCGGAUGAGCGCGCAGGAGGGCAGCCAGCCGGGGGACGGUUGGUCCUUAGCAGUCCUGAAGGCCCUUCAUGCAGCCUGGGUAACUUGAUGUUCAGAGUAAAAUGUGUGUGUUUCAGAA